rnacentral:lncRNA from 1 species
GAGCAGCCCACAACCCUGUGUCUGAGCUCUCCCUACUCUGAGCCCAGGACUGAAGAAGAGGAGACACCAUGAAGUGUGUGCUGGUCUGGACUUUCCUUUGGUCUAUUCUCCACGGUCUCCUCUCUGAAGUUCAGCUGGUGGAGUCUGGGAGUAACUUGAGACAGCCAGGAGGAUCUCUGCACCUCUCCUGUUCAGCCUCAGGAUUCAC